CUACGGGGCGCUGCAGUGGGGAAUAUUGCACAAUGGAGGAAGCUCUGAUGCAGCAACGCCGCGUGGAGGAUGACACUUUUCGGAGCGUAAACUCCUUUUAUAUAGGAAGAAGAUGACGGUACUAUAUGAAUAAGCGCCGGCUAACUCCGUGCCAGCAGCCGCGGUAAUACGGAGGGCGCAAGCGUUACUCGGAAUCACUGGGCGUAAAGAGCGUGUAGGCGGAUUAAAAAGUCAGAAGUGAAAUCCUAUAGCUUAACUAUAGAACUGCUUCUGAAACUCUUAAUCUAGAAUAUGGGAGAGGUAGAUGGAAUUUCUGGUGUAGGGGUAAAAUCCGUAGAGAUCAGAAGGAAUACCGAUUGCGAAGGCGAUCUACUAGAACAUUAUUGACGCUGAGACGCGAAAGCGUGGGGAGCAAACAGGAUUAGAUACCCUUUAGUC
rnacentral:rRNA from 1 species